GAUGAACGCUGGCGGCGUGCCUAAUACAUGCAAGUCGAGCGAACAGACGAGGAGCUUGCUCCUCUGACGUUAGCGGCGGACGGGUGAGUAACACGUGGAUAACCUACCUAUAAGACUGGGAUAACUUCGGGAAACCGGAGCUAAUACCGGAUAAUAUAUUGAACCGCAUGGUUCAAUAGUGAAAGACGGUUUUGCUGUCACUUAUAGAUGGAUCCGCGCCGCAUUAGCUAGUUGGUAAGGUAACGGCUUACCAAGGCAACGAUGCGUAGCCGACCUGAGAGGGUGAUCCGCCACCCCGGAACUGAGACACGGUCCAGACUCCUACGGGAGGCAGCAGUAGGGAAUCUUCCGCAAUGGGCGAAAGCCUGACGGAGCAACGCCGCGUGAGUGAUGAAGGUCUUCGGAUCGUAAAACUCUGUUAUUAGGGAAGAACAAAUGUGUAAGUAACUAUGCACGUCUUGACGGUACCUAAUCAGAAAGCCACGGCUAACUACGUG
rnacentral:rRNA from 1 species